UGGGGAAUUUUGGACAAUGGGGGAAACCCUGAUCCAGCCAUCCCGCGUGUGCGAUGAAGGCCUUCGGGUUGUAAAGCACUUUUGGCAGGAAAGAAACGUCAUGGGUUAAUACCCCGUGAAACUGACGGUACCUGCAGAAUAAGCACCGUCUAACUACGUGCCAGCAGCCGCGGUAAUACGUAGGGUGCAAGCGUUAAUCGGAAUUACUGGGCGUAAAGCGUGCGCAGGCGGUUCGGAAAGAAAGAUGUGAAAUCCCAGAGCUCAACUGUGGAACUGCAUUUUUAACUACCGGGCUAGAGUGUGUCAGAGGGAGGUGGAAUUCCGCGUGUAGCAGUGAAAUGCGUAGAUAUGCGGAGGAACACCGAUGGCGAAGGCAGCCUCCUGGGAUAACACUGACGCUCAUGCACGAAAGCGUGGGGAGCAAACAGG
rnacentral:rRNA from 1 species